AUGUCUCCUAUGCCUCCGAUAAUCAUUGUCCUAUCCUCUAUUCUGACAUGCUCAUUACUAGGUGCUACAGCUCUCCACGGUCAUGGUGAUGCUAGCACCGACUUCCAAGCCCUCCGUUGCCUUAAACUCCAUCUCAACACUUCUGCUCGAUUCCUAGCCUCAUGGAAGAUUGAUGGUUCCCUCCAAAAGUUCUGCACUUGGUCCGGUGUUACCUGCAGCAAGAGGCACACGUCUCGUGUGGUUGCACUGGACCUCGAGUCACUCUACCUUGAUGGCCAAAUGCCUCCUUGCAUUGCAAAUCUCACUCUCCUCACAAGAAUCCACCUCCCAAAUAAUCAGCUUCGGGGUCCAAUCCCGACUGAACUUGGCCAACUGAAUACGUUGCGGUAUCUUAACCUCAGCUCAAACAAUCUUAGCGGCAUGAUCCCAAGCACUCUGUCCUCAUGCUCUCAGCUUAGAGUCAUUGAUCUUGGGAGCAACUCCUUCAGCGGUGAGAUCCCACCAAACCUAAGCCAAUGUUCAAAUAUGCAGCAGCUCAAGCUGGAUCACAACAGGCUGAUUGGAGGCAUCCCCGAAGGGUUGGGGAUACUCCGCAACCUUUCAGUUUUGCAUCUUGCUGGAAAUACUCUGACGGGUAAUAUACCUCUUUCACUUGGAACCAGUUCUGCUCUUCGCUCUGUUAAUCUCACUGACAAUAGCCUCACAGGACCCAUCCCGUCUCUCCUAGCUAAUAGUUCAUCACUUCAAUUUUUCUUCUUAACCAAAAAUCAGCUAGGUGGAGAGAUUCCAUCUGCACUAUUCAACAGCACAUCACUCAAAAUCUUGUCCCUGGGAGUAAACAACUUUAUUGGGUCCAUACCUGCUGUUUUCCCGAAUUUUGAUGACUCACCCUUGCAACAUAUUGUCUUGGCAUCAAAUAAUCUUGCAGGGGCAAUACCUUCUACUCUAGGGAACUUUUCUUCCCUUCGCUGGCUCUUACUUUCACAGAAUAAUUUUCAAGGUAGCAUCCCAGCGAGUAUAGGUAAGCUUCCCAACCUGCAACUACUAGACCUGAGUUACAACGUCUUGUCUGGGAGUGUCCCCGCCUCUAUUUACAACAUAUCAAAACUCACAUACCUUAGCAUGGGUGUGAAUUCUCUGGCAGGGGAAAUUCCAUAUAACAUAGGAUAUACCCUUCCAAGCAUCCAAACUUUGAUUAUGGGAGUAAACAAAUUUCAUGGCCAAAUCCCCACUUCACUAGCCAACACAACGAAUCUUCAUACGAUUUAUCUCGCUGAAAGUGCAUUCCAUGGUAUUGUGCCUUCUCUUGGGACUCUUCCCAACUUAAUCAGCCUAGAUCUAGGCGAGAAUAGUCUCGAAGCAGGAGAUUGGUCCUUCUUAACCUCACUGACCAAUUGCACUCAACUGGUGGAAUUAUUAUUGGAUGCAAACAUCCUUCAAGGAGAAUUACCAAAUUCCAUUGCUGACCUUCCAAAGAGCUUAGAGGUAUUGUUAUUAAUAGCAAAUAAAAUAUCUGGCACCGUACCAAAAGCAAUGGGGCACCUCACAAACAUUAAACGUCUUUACAUGGAAGAUAAUUUGCUUACUGGAAGUAUCCCCAAAUCACUUGGAAAUCUUCAAGAAUUAAUUGAACUAAGCUUAUCCCAGAACAAACUUUCCGGACAAAUUCCGCUAUCACUUGGCAAUCUAGGUCAAUUGGGUGAGCUAUAUUUACAGGAAAAUAAUUUGAGUGGCCCAAUCCCAAGAACUCUACGGGAUUGUAAAAAUUUGGAAAUAUUGAACCUCUCUUCUAACAGCUUUGAUGAUAGCAUACCAAAGGAGCUUUUUACACUUUUCUCUCUUUCCAAAGGUUUGGACUUAUCUCAUAACAAACUCUCAGGAGAAAUACCACUAGAGAUUGGCAGCUUGGUGAAUCUGGGUGCAUUGAAUAUUUCCAAUAACCAGUUGUCUGGAGAAAUUCCCUCCACUCUAGGUGAGUGCGUUCAUUUGGAGUCACUGCACAUGGAGGGGAACACUUUUCAUGGGAGUAUCCCUCAACCUCUCAUGAAUUUGAGAGGCAUCAUUGUGAUGGAUCUAUCUCAAAACAACUUGUCUGGUGAAAUCCCGGACUUCUUUCAGUCCUUUAGUUCCAUGAAGCUUCUCAAUUUGUCGUUCAACAAUCUCGAGGGACCAGUUCCACCAGGUGGGAUGUUCCAGAAUGGAAGUGAGGUGUUCAUACAAGGGAACAAGAAGUUAUGUGCAAACACCCCAUUGCUAGAGUUGCCACUUUGCAAUGGAGUGAUAUACAAACAGAAGAUGCACAUCUCCAAGAUCCUUAAGAUUGUGGCAAUUACUGCUCUUUCUUUGGUUCUGUUAUCAUGCUUUGGAGUCAUUAUUUUCAAAAAGAGAAAGAAAAUUGAACAUGCAACACAUCCAUCUAUCAAGGAGUUAAAGAAGUUGACAUAUGCUGAUUUAGUGAAAGCAACAAAUGGUUUUUCUUUAGCCAACUUGGUUGGUUCAGGGAAAUAUGGAUCUGUGUACGAAGGUAGAAUUGAGUACGAAGAAAGAGUUGCCAUCAAAGUUUUCAAACUUGAUCAACUUGGAGCAACAAAGAGUUUCCUUGCUGAAUGUGAGGCACUGAGAAACACUCGUCAUCGUAAUCUUGUAAGGGUGAUCACCGUAUGCUCGACAAGUGACCCAACAGGAAAUGAGUUCAAGGCUCUUAUUCUUGAGUUUAUGGUAAAUGGCGACCUAGAGAGUUGGCUCUAUCCGACACUACUCCACGAGCAUCAUCCAGAAAGGCCGUUGUGUUUGGGUUCAAGAAUUGCAAUAGCAGUGGACAUAGCUGCUGCUUUGAAUUACCUCCAUAACCAAUGCAUGCCUCCUAUGGUCCACUGUGAUCUGAAGCCUAGCAAUGUCCUUCUGGAUGAUGUCAUGGGCGCAUGUGUCGGCGACUUUGGGUUGGCUAAGUUCCUACAUGGUUAUUCUUCUUCUUCUGGGAUUGAUGGUUCUACUUCUACAAGCUUAGUGGGGCCAAGAGGAUCAGUUGGAUACAUUGCACCAGAAUAUGGCUAUGGAAGCAAAAUCUCGACGGAGGGUGAUGUUUACAGCUAUGGAGUAAUCAUCUUAUAG
rnacentral:rRNA from 1 species